UAAAGUAACUUAUAACUAUCGCUUAUAACUUAUAACUCUCGCUUAUAACUUAUAACUCAUAACUGCCCUAUUUAUCUCUUAAUUUUAGUUCUUAUAGUAUUAUAAUGCUGAUCAGGCAAAAAGGAUGGCUGUGGCAUUUCUUGUUGCGUGAUCAAGUUCUUCUUGUAAUUGUAUUCCAAUAGAUUUUAUGAUGACUUUGCAAA